GACGAACGCUGGCGGCGUGCCUAAUACAUUCAAGUAGAACGCAGUUUCGAACGGGUGAUUAACGCGUAGGUAACUGCCUCAUAACGGGGGUUAACUAUUGUAACCGAUAGCUAAUACCACAUCCUGUGAGAUGUACCUGCGUUGUAUUAGCUAUUUGGUGAGGUAAAGGCUCACCAAGCCGACGAUACAUAGCCGACCUGAGAGGGUGAGCGGCGAAACUGGGAAGGAUACACGGCCCAGACGUCGAAGGGAGGCAGGAGAAGGGAAUUUUCGGGAAAGGACGGAAGUCUGAAAGAGCAAAGCCGCGUGAGUGAAGAGGGGGAUCGGAUCGUAAAGCUCUGUUGUUAGAGAAGCGGUACCUAACCAGAAAGGGACGGCUAACUACGUGCCAGCAGCCGCGGUAAUAC
rnacentral:rRNA from 1 species